AGCAGAGCUGAGUUCUUUCCUGAGUUGAUACAGCUCAGUGCAGCAGCAGAGGCAGUUGAAACCAGAGAAUAGGGAGAGCCAGAAAUUUAGAAAGAAGGGCCAAGCAGAGCAAUUCAGGAGAAACAGAGAAGUCAGAUUGAAUCAGUCAUCUUGGAGAGGAGUCUGAGCCAGAACGACUGAGCUGAACCAGCCAGGCAGAGUUCAGAAAGAACUAGAAAGGGUGAGCUUAUUCAGCAGUAAGCGUCUGAGACCACAAUGCCAUCUGCCAGAAUAUGAAACCAGCCUAACUGCCUAGCAACAGAUGAAUAACGAAAAUGUGGCUCAAGGACACUAUAGAAGCUAAUUCCACUGUAAAGAAGAAUGAAAUCAUGACUUUCAGCCUGUUUUUAAUCUAGCAGAGAUUAUCACACAAACUUUCAAAUAUUUCAUUAUAAAGGCACCUGAUUUCCUCAAUAUAUCAUAAUUUUAAAAGAUAGAUGUGGUAAAGUAAGGCUACCUUCUACAGUUGUUAGUUUACAAUGAAGAAGGUAAAAUUUUGAGAAGCCUAGCCACUGAAACCCUAAGCCUUGGCUGAAGAAAACACCUGCUCCUCUUUGGGUUAAUCUUUACGCAUCAUAAACUGUCACAGCCUAAGUAUCUAUUCUAUGGCCUUGGAUGGUAUGGUACUUUCUCCUUUCGUAGCAUCUUGUGCUGGGUCAAGUAAGUGGGACAAUGAAUACGAAUAGUAUAUUUUACUUUAAAUGGCUUUAGAUUUUGGAAUUUCAAGUUACCAAGUGUUUUCAAAGUAAGAAUUGAACACCUAUUUCUUCUGUUAAAAAAAACAAACAAAAAUCAACCAACCAACCAACCAAACAAUCCCUAUUUUUAAUAUUCCUAAUUUGGAUACUGCAUGGCUUCUUUUCAAGAAUGAUAAAAUCCUCUCUAACAGUUUCCAUAAUUAAACUACUUUUUCCGUGCAUAACAAUA